GACGAACGCUGGCGGCGUGCCUAAUACAUGCAAGUUGAGCGCUGAAGGUUGGUACUUGUACCGACUGGAUGAGCAGCGAACGGGUGAGUAACGCGUGGGGAAUCUGCCUUUGAGCGGGGGACAACAUUUGGAAACGAAUGCUAAUACCGCAUAAAAACUUUAAACACAAGUUUUAAGUUUGAAAGAUGCAAUUGCAUCACUCAAAGAUGAUCCCGCGUUGUAUUAGCUAGUUGGUGAGGUAAAGGCUCACCAAGGCGAUGAUACAUAGCCGACCUGAGAGGGUGAUCGGCCACAUUGGGACUGAGACACGGCCCAAACUCCUACGGGAGGCAGCAGUAGGGAAUCUUCGGCGAUGGACGAAAGUCUGACCGAGCAACGCCGCGUGAGUGAAGAAGGUUUUCGGAUCGUAAAACUCGGUUGGUAGAGAAGAACGUUGGUGAGAGUGGAAAGCUCAUCAAGUGACGGUAACUACCCAGAAAGGGACGGCUAACUACGUG
rnacentral:rRNA from 1 species